CCUCAGUGCUAUUCUGAGGAGCGGCGCAGACUGACGGUCACUUGGGGUGGAAAGAAGGGCUCCACGGAAUUCAGAGGCCUCCCGCUCCCUGGAGAAUCUCCCCAGGAAAGAACUGAAUUAAUGCAAAGAGACAGGUUGUUCCAGUGCCAGAAGUGAACAAGCAGAAAAGGAUGGAGGUUCUGUUUUCAGAAGAGAAGCUCAACCAAAUAAUACCCACUCUGUUCCCUCUGCUGUCUUCUGGGAUGAUUCAGAAGGACGCACCCUACGUCCACUGCUGUCCACCUAGAGCGUUUGCCCCUGCUGACCUCUUGACCACCACCAGACUUCUAUUAUUUGCAGUCAGUAACAAAGAUUCACCCUUGUGUCAAUAAACAGCAAGGGGAAUCUUUGUCACUUAGUGUAAUUAAUAGCUGGAUCUCCACUGAGAAGACAGCAGGCCUGCCCAAUGCCUGGACCCUUCGGUGGACUUGGGAAAGCCUCCAAUCAUCCUGGCUGCCUGGGAACAAUGGAAACUCCAGCAUGCAAACAGUGCUGGGAAGAUGCCACCAGAUUACAUUUGCUACCAUGAUGCCAACGGGAGUUCCCAGGGCAGACGACCCCACCAUGUGUCCUGAAGCCCCGCUUCCCUUAAGAUGGCUGACUCAGUGGCUCUGGAGGUGGCACCAUAAAUAAAGCACUGGACACUCAAGCAUGAGGUCCCACGUUCAAUCCCCAGCAGCACAUGUACCAGAGAGUGAUGUCUUGUUCUUUCUCUCUCUCCUCCCAUCUUUCUC